UUAUACAGUUGGGGAAGGGCCAUCGAGAAACUUACGUUUCUGUUCUCUCAUGCUCGUGAAGCUUGGUUUACUUCCUCGGUUUCAUGGGCCUCUCCUUCAGAGGAGGAUGUUUUCAUUCAGAGGAAACGGCCACACAACAGAGGAUCCCAUAUGGAAAGCCGCCUCAGACUCCUACCAGCAUGCCAUCCCUGCCGUGAUGGAGCUUCCCCUCCAUGAACAAAAGCAGUUCUUCCCUCUUUGAGUGGUCUGAGUGAGGUGUUUUGUUACAUCAGGAGAACGGAAGUGAAAUCCUCCUCCGGGCAGUGUAAAGACAACACAGCAAACACUCUAGUUAGCACACUUCAAUCCCUUACUGACGCAGAUGACAUCCUCUACAGCCCUGAGCAGACCCACCCUUUGUUUUCUGCACAUAACGGGAGCUUCAUAAGAUAGUGGAAGAAGCAAUAUACACCUCUUUCAAGAGAGCACAGAUGCACUGAAAGACAGCAUGGGAAUAAGAGUAAAAGUAGAAGGCACCUGAGUGAUGUCAGUGUUGAAGAUAAACUCACUUGGGUUAUGCUUACAAAUAGACCUGUUAAACACAGUGACAGGAGUUGGCUGUCACAGGAUUCUAUGUGAAAUGUCUGCUACAGACAAAAGCUGAAGUUAUAUACUCAGAGGAAAAAUAAUUUGUCAUGAGGACUUACUUGCAGCACAAACUUGCCUUAAGGAUGUGUGAUCUUCCUGCCUUCAUGUGCAAACAGUUGGUUCUUCAGGUCUUCCUGCCUUCUCAUCCAGUGUGAGUCUGCAGUGUGCACUAGCAAACUUAUCUAAGAAAAUGCUCAUCUCACAUUAACAUGUGGGACCUACUGGAAGGAUGGAUUCAAACAUGGAAGAGGAUGAUACCCAAGGAGAACUGGAAUGAGAUAAGAUUCUCAGAAUUGCUCCUGAUGUGUAGGCCUUUACCACAGCUGCUGAAGAAUGUACAGCUGCAAAAGUGACAAUUGAGUCACACACAGAAGUGUGAGGAAACAUCCCAUGAAAAUGACUUAUUCAAUGUCAGACUUAAUAUGGGUUGAUCCUCACUGUGCAGAUAAAAUCCCAGUAGGGAGUCCUGUUGUGUGUGCUCUAAGCUGUCCACAUGAUAGCUGGCAGGGUCCUGUCAUAAUAAGCACAUGCUAAAUAAAAUAAAAACAUAUAUUUACUAAAGAAAUUAAUAGGUGAAUUUUAAAAAUUGGUUAAGUGACGAAGUCUAAUUUUUUAUAACUAUUUUCAGUAGCAGUUAAUCAUGAUUUAGUUACUGCCGCUAUUCUAUUACAAAUCCUUAUCAGAAAUCCACUAUUUUAAUCACAGGAACCUAUUAUAUUUUAAGAAAGUUCCCUUGAGCAUUAUUUUAUCACCUUAAAAUGAUAAAUAGAGCUUUGGAUCUGCCAUCUAUCCCUGGGACUGAUCAUCCUUUGUAAUAAUUUCUUUGUGAGUGUUGUCCCAAGGGUCUCUGUUUUUCUUCCCAAAAUGUUUACAUUCUCUUUUAUUAUUUUCUUUUUUAUUAUUUUCUUUAUUAUUAUUCUCUUUUAUUAUUUUCCUUUUCUUUCAUACUUAGACCUUGAGGUAAAUUAAAAUGUUAGUGUAAGUUAGAGAAUGUUACAAGAUUGAGCACUUUACAAGUUCUGCUUAUUUCUUGAUCUUUCUGAUUUAUGGAUAGCAUGUAAAUGAGAAAGAAAAGACUCAAAUUAAGCAUCCUUCAUUGCCCUAGGAGAUCUUCCAUGUUGAAUUCCUGUAGCUUUAUGUAGAAGGUCUAUGGUGAUAUUUUAUUUGUGCUGAAAUGUGAUUUUAUUUGUAUGUUAAUAAAUAAAGUUGUCUGGGGGUCAGAGCUAAUAGCAAGCCAU